rnacentral:lncRNA from 1 species
AUGGGGAGGAGAGAAGGGAUGGGGUCAGAGGGUUUGAGCCGGUGGCUGGAUUCCAGAGGUCUUGGAAGGCCGAGGGGAAGACUUUGGCUCCGGGACUGUGCCUUGGGAGGUCCGUGGAGUUCUUGGAGCCUGGGCUGCUUACAGGGAGGGAACCAGAGGGGGUCCCAGUGGAGGGGAUGCAGAGCCAGGGAGGAGGUGACGGUGCUGGGUCGGGGCGGCCUCCGGGCAGGGGUGCUUGUGGGCACCAACUCAGAUGGGGGCCUCCAGUCAGCCCCUUUACUGGACAUGAAGGAACUGAGCCUGGGAGGUCUUGACUCUCACUCAGGGUCACUCAGCUCACACUGCGGGCAGCGCUGGGACUGGGGGAAGCCCCCUCACAGACCCCCUGGGCAGUCCAGGAAGAGCCACUCUGGCCUUCCCAGCCUGUUGGACUACAAGUGGUGUGAGCCACUGCGCCCAGCCCCAGGCCACACUGUUUUUUGUUUGUUUGUUUGUUUGUUUGUUUUUUUGAGACAGAGUCUCGCUAUGUCGCCCAGGCUGGAGUGCAGUGGCCAGAUCUCAGCUCACUGCAAGCUCCGCCUCCCGGGUUUUUACGCCAUUCUCCUGCCUCAGCCUCCCGAGUAGCCAGGACUACAGAAGCCCACCACGCCCGGCUAGUUUUUGUAUUUUUUAGUAGAGACGGGGUUUCACCGUGUUAGCCAGGAUGGUCUCGAACUCCUGACCUUGUGAUCCGCCCGUCUCGGCCUCCCAAAGUGCUGGGAUUACAGGCUUGAGCCACCGUGCCCGGCCCCAGGCCACACUUUGAAAAGGACAAAUGGACUGGGAUGCUGCCCUCGAGCUCAUAACGUGCACCUGGCUGUGCCUCCGUUCCCCAACCCCCCACACCCCCCAGCUCCCCCCGGCUCCCGGGUCCCCACCCCCUGCCCCCACCCCGGGCAAGCCUCAGGGGUGGUGGCUGUGACUGCAGGAGCAGAGCCAGAACAACUGGCAGAGACCAAACCUUGUCACCCCUCACAGGCUGUGUGGCCAUGGGCAAGUCACUCUAUCUCUCUGGGUCCCAGUCUCCACAUUUUCAGAGUAGGGGCAGUUUCUCUGUGCCCUGAAAGUGGCUGGGAGUCUAGGCCAGGUGACAGCUCAGGGCAAGUUCUCAAGGGCCCCAGAAGCAUCUAGGGUGCAGGGGAGGCUCCAGGAUCCCCAGUUUCCCACUUUUUUUUUUUUUUUGAGACGGAGUCUCGCUCUGUCGCCCAGGCUGGAGUGCAGUGGCCGGAUCUCAGCUCACUGCAAACUCCGCCUCCGGGGUUUACGCCAUUCUCCUGCCUCAGCCUCCUGAGUAGCUGAGACUACAGGCGCACCCUGCCGCUAGUUUUUUGUAUUUUUAGUAGAGACGGGGUUUCACCGUGUUAGCCAAGAUGGUCUCCAUCUCCUGACCUCGUGAUCCGCCCGUCUCGGCCUCCCAAAGUGCUGGGAUUACAGGCUUGAGCCACCGCGCCCGGCGUUUCCCACUUUUAAAUGAGGUGACUCGAGACCCUCUGAGAUGAAGGGACCCUGGACAUUGAUCAUUUUGGCCUCCCAUCUCUAGGAGCAUGUCCAGAGUCUGCCAUUCCUUCCAGAAAGGAAAAAGGAGAACUCACGCCAAGGUCUCCCUUGUUUAGCCAGGGAGGUGGGAGUGGGGUCGGGGGGCAGCCAGGAAACACGAGCACAUUCGUCAUGGAGGGCAGGAGUCCACGGUCAGCACCAGCGGCAGACUGUCCUCUCCCUGUGCCUCAGUUCCCUUCUGUGUAAAACAGGAGAACUCUGCACCACCCGCCCCCCAUGCCGAAGUGUGGGGCAAAGCUGCGAAGGUGCUGGUGCCCGGCCACCCUCAGUCAAGGCGGCAAGAGCCCCUCGGUGAGUGGGCAUGGCCCCACAGGGAUGGAGGGGAUGAGGCAGAACCCAAA